rnacentral:rRNA from 1 species
AUUGAACGCUGGCGGCAGGCCUAACACAUGCAAGUCGAGCGGAUGAAGGGAGCUUGCUCCUGGAUUCAGCGGCGGACGGGUGAGUAAUGCCUAGGGAUCUGCCUGGUAGUGGGGGAUAACGUCCGGAAACGGGCGCUAAUACCGCAUACGUCCUGAGGGAGAAAGUGGGGGAUCUUCGGACCUCACGCUAUCAGAUGAGCCUAGGUCGGAUUAGCUAGUUGGUGGGGUAAAGGCCUACCAAGGCGACGAUCCGUAACUGGUCUAAGAGGAUGAUCAGUCACACUGGAACUGAGACACGGUCCAGACUCCUACGGGAGGCAGCAGUGGGGAAUAUUGGACAAUGGGCGAAAGCCUGAUCCAGCCAUGCCGCGUGUGUGAAGAAGGUCUUCGGAUUGUAAAGCACUUUAAGUUGGGAGGAAGGGCAGUAAGUUAAUACCUUGCUGUUUUGACGUUACCAACAGAAUAAGCACCGGCUAACUUCGUG